GCUCUGUUAUUUAUCUGCCUUAGAUUUGGAAGCAGGUUCAGCUUGGUCUUGUAUGCUCUAAGAAGCUGAGAGCUUCAUGCACAAGGGAAAGCUUUGCCAUCAUAGGAAAUGGAGAAUAACUUUGUUGCUCUGACAGAAUACCAGGAAAAUAAGAUCAGGAAAGUCCCUCACGUGCUGUCUCUGGAGAGCCCCCACAAAAACCAGGAGCCUGUUUCACUGUCAGUGGCUGCUCUGUGCCCUACUGUCAUUUUUUUUUUCCAGUUGGAGUCUGGUUCUGCCAUCUUUCAUGAUAUCAAACAGUAAAACCACAAAGAGUAUGGCCUGA